ACAUAGGGCAGAAAGCCAUGUG
rnacentral:miRNA from 14 species